rnacentral:rRNA from 1 species
GAUGAACGCUAGCUACAGGCUUAACACAUGCAAGUCGAGGGGAAACGAUAUUGGAAGCUUGCUUCCGAUAGGCGUCGACCGGCGCACGGGUGAGUAACGCGUAUCCAACCUGCCCACCACUUGGGGAUAACCUUGCGAAAGUAAGACUAAUACCCAAUGAUAUCUCUAGAAGACAUCUGAAGGAGAUUAAAGAUUUAUCGGUGAUGGAUGGGGAUGCGUCUGAUUAGCUUGUUGGCGGGGUAACGGCCCACCAAGGCGACGAUCAGUAGGGGUUCUGAGAGGAAGGUCCCCUACAUUGGAACUGAGACACGGUCCAAACUCCUACGGGAGGCAGCAGUGAGGAAUAUUGGUCAAUGGACGAGAGUCUGAACCAGCCAAGUAGCGUGCAGGAUGACGGCCCUAUGGGUUGUAAACUGCUUUUAUGAGGGAAUAAAGUGAGCCUCGUGAGGCUUUUUGCAUGUACCUUAUGAAUAAGGACCGGCUAAUUCCGUGCCAGCCGCCGCGGUAA